CCUACGGGAGGCAGCAGUGGGGGAUAUUGCACAAUGGGGGAAACCCUGAUGCAGCGACGCCGCGUGUAGGAAGACGGUCCUCUGGAUUGUAAACUACUGUCCCCAGGGACGAAGAUGACGGUACCUGGGGAGGACGCUCCGGCUAACUACGUGCCAGCAGCCGCGGUAAUACGUAGGGAGCGAGCGUUGUCCGGAAUUACUGGGGGUAAAGGGAGCGUAGGCGGGGAUGCAAGUUGGGUGUUAAAUCGACCGGCUCAACUGGUAGUCGCACUCAAAACUGCAGCUCUUGAGUGAAGUAGAGGCAGGCGGAAUUCCUGGUGUAGCGGUGAAAUGCGUAGAUAUUAGGAGGAACACCAGUGGCGAAGGCGGCCUGCUGGGCUUUUACUGACGCUGAGGCUCGAAAGUGUGGGGAGCAAACAGGAUUAGAUACCCUAGUAGUC
rnacentral:rRNA from 1 species